UCCAACUUAUCGCUGGCGGUCUCCUGAGAGUGCUUCCCUUACGGGAGUGGCAACACAGGACAAGGGUUGCGCUCGUUGCGGGACUUAACCCAACAUCUCACGACACGAGCUGACGACAGCCAUGCAGCACCUCGACUCAAGUCCCUUGCGGGAAGUCCUCGUUUCUGAGGAUGUUCUUAAGCCGUUCGAGCCUAGGUAAGGUUCUUCGCGUUGCGUCGAAUUGAACCACAUGCUCCACCGCUUGUGCGGGCCCCCGUCAAUUCCUUUGAGUUUCAGCCUUGCGACUGUACUCCCCAGGCGGCAUAUUUAACGCGUUAGCUCCGGCACGGACCAAAUGAAUGGCCCACACCAAAUAUGCAUCGUUUAGGGCGUGGACUAC
rnacentral:misc_RNA from 1 species